rnacentral:rRNA from 1 species
GACGAACGCUGGCGGCGUGCUUAACACAUGCGAGUCGAACGGAAAGGCCCUGCUUUUGUGGGGUGCUCGAGUGGCGAACGGGUGAGUAACACGUGAGUAACCUGCCCUUGACUUUGGGAUAACUUCAGGAAACUGGGGCUAAUACCGGAUAGGAGCUCCUGCUGCAUGGUGGGGGUUGGAAAGUUUCGGCGGUUGGGGAUGGACUCGCCGCUUAUCAGCUUGUUGGUGGGGUAGUGGCUUACCAAGGCUUUGACGGGUAGCCGGCCUGAGAGGGUGACCGGCCACAUUGGGACUGAGAUACGGCCCAGACUCCUACGGGAGGCAGCAGUGGGGAAUAUUGCACAAUGGGCGGAAGCCUGAUGCAGCAACGCCGCGUGCGGGAUGACGGCCUUCGGGUUGUAAACCGCUUUCGCCUGUGACGAAGCGUGAGUGACGGUAAUGGGUAAAGAAGCACCGGCUAACUACGUG